rnacentral:rRNA from 1 species
GUAAUAGCUCACUGGUCGAGUCGGCCUGCGCGGAAGAUGUAACGGGGCUAAACCAUGCACCGAAGCUGCGGCAGCGACGCUGAUGCGUUGUUGGGUAGGGGAGCGUUCUGUAAGCCUGUGAAGGUGUACUGUGAGGUAUGCUGGAGGUAUCAGAAGUGCGAAUGCUGACAUAAGUAACGAUAAAGCGGGUGAAAAGCCCGCUCGCCGGAAGACCAAGGGUUCCUGUCCAACGUUAAUCGGGGCAGGGUGAGUCGACCCCUAAGG